UACGAAGGGGGCUAGCGUUGCUCGGAAUCACUGGGCGUAAAGGGUGCGUAGGCGGGUCUUUAAGUCAGGGGUGAAAUCCUGGAGCUCAACUCCAGAACUGCCUUUGAUACUGAAGAUCUUGAGUUCGGGAGAGGUGAGUGGAACUGCGAGUGUAGAGGUGAAAUUCGUAGAUAUUCGCAAGAACACCAGUGGCGAAGGCGGCCAACUGGACCAACACUGACGCUGAGGCGCGAAAGCGUGGGGAGCAAACAGG
rnacentral:rRNA from 1 species